rnacentral:rRNA from 1 species
GUGCCAGCCGCCGCGGUAAUACCGGCAGCCCGAGUGAUGGCCGAUCUUAUUGGGCCUAAAGCGUCCGUAGCUGGCUGCGCAAGUCCAUUGGGAAAUCGACCAGCUCAACUGGUCGGCGUCCGGUGGAAACUACACAGCUUGGGGCCGAGAGACUCAACGGGUACGUCCGGGGUAGGAGUGAAAUCCUGUAAUCCUGGACGGACCACCAAUGGGGAAACUACGUUGAGAGACCGGACCCGACGGUGAGGGACGAAAGCCAGGGUCUCGAACCGGAUUAGAUACCCCAGUAGUCC